CCCGUGAUUUUCUCCAACUUCCAAAUCAGCUCCCACAAAUACCUAGCCUCCAAAAAGGACGCUCCCAGAUAUAUCACGAUGCGCACUUCAGCCCCGCCGGCCUAACUUCUCCUAAUCUUCCCUUCAAGCGCCGCCGGCCUAAUUUCUCCAGUUCUCCACCGCCUCUCCCCUUCAAGUGCCGCCGACCUGGGUUCUCCUCGGUCUAUCUGCAGUUCUGCACCCAGCUCUGCCUCUUUUUUGAUUCGCCCAUCACCACGGCCCUCUUCGUCGGUGACUCACCACGAUGAAGCUGCCUUUGCCGUCCCUUUGUCCUCGCAUCCAAGCGAGUCUCGUUCCUGAAUUACAAGCCGCGCAGCAAUGAUGGGAUGCAGGCUAAAAGAUGCAUCUGGAUGAUUGCUUUUGCGAUCUCUAGUAAUUUUGACACAAAGGUGGACAGAUCCAAAAUUUAGUUCUGUAAUAACCGUCUUCCUUCUCUUCUACGGUUCUGCUCCUUAUUUUUUAUCCCAGUUUCCACUACAUCGAUUUGAUUUGCAGGCCCGAAAUCAGUCUGGCUGGAUAGGAUGCAUGCUACAUGUGAUCGUGCUUGUGCAAUUCAUCUACAACGGUCCAGCGAAAAAAAUACCAGGUACACAACUAUGCAUGCAUGUAAAGUAUCCAUUUGGUUAUUUUUUAUCAAUCUUACUUCAGUAGGUACCUUUUAACAAUUCAGUCGUCAGACCCAGUGUUGAAACCAUCGACCCCUGUUGGUAUUAAAUGACCAAGUUGAAACAGUAAAUUAAUCUAAGUACUACAUGUAGAUAUAUGAGCUUAGAAGAAUCAUAUUUCUUAUGCAGGUUGUCAUAUGAGAACGUAAUUAUCUACACGUAACUGAAAUAAAUUUAUUAGACAAGAUGUGAGAUUUCCUUUGUGCUUUACUUUUUUUCAAGAUUGUCCUUUGUGCUUUACUAACUGAAUGCUACUAAUAUGCUGUGCAUUCUUGAAAUGUUUUCCGCUGAUGUCCUUGCCAUGUGGAGCUACUGACUUUGCAUAACCAUAUAUAUUAACGGCAUGUAUGGUAACUAUCCAGAUGCAUAUUUUUCAAAUGGUCAAACGAUCAUAAACAAUCUAGAGAUCUCGAGGAUGGGGAAAAUUAGAACUGCAAUGCCCACAAGAUCUGUAAUACAAGGCAAAUGGAGUAAAGAUAUGAGCCUAUAUCUGCCAAAUUUUGGCUGUACUUGGAUUGUAUAUUUGUAACUCUCUAGGAAAUGUAACAGUUAUGGCUCUUAUAAUAAAUAAAGAAAGUAUAAUUUCCAA